AACGAACGCUGGCGGCGUGCCUAACACAUGCAAGUCGAGCGAGAAAGUCCCCGCAAGGGGAUGAGUAAAGCGGCGAACGGGUGAGUAACACGUGGGCAACCUGCCCUUCAGUCAGGAAUAACCCAUCGAAAGGUGGGCUAAUACCGGAUAAUGUCCUUUGGGGGCAUCUUCGAGGGACCAAAGGGGGCGAGCGAAAGCGGCUCCCGCUGAGGGAUGGGCCUGCGGCUGAUUAGCUAGUUGGUGGGGUAGCGGCCUACCAAGGCAACGAUCAGUAGCCGACCUGAGAGGGCGACCGGCCACACUGGGACUGAGACACGGCCCAGACUCCUACGGGAGGCAGCAGUGGGGAAUAUUGCGCAAUGGGCGAAAGCCUGACGCAGCGACGCCGCGUGGGUGAUGAAGGCCUUCGGGUCGUAAAACCCUGUCGGGUGGAACGAAUCUCCUCCCCUCUAAUACAGGAGAGGAUUGACGGUACCACCGAAGGAAGCCCCGGCUAACUAC
rnacentral:rRNA from 1 species